CCUACGGGGGGCUGCAGUGGGGAAUAUUGGACAAUGGGGGCAACCCUGAUCCAGCCAUGCCGCGUGUGUGAAGAAGGCCCUCGGGUUGUAAAGCACUUUCAGUGAGGAAGAACGCCUGGUGGUUAAUACCCAUCAGGAAAGACAUCACUCACAGAAGAAGCACCGGCUAACUCCGUGCCAGCAGCCGCGGUAAUACGGAGGGUGCGAGCGUUAAUCGGAAUUACUGGGCGUAAAGCGCGCGUAGGUGGCUUGAUAAGCCGGUUGUGAAAGCCCCGGGCUCAACCUGGGAACGGCAUCCGGAACUGUCAAGCUAGAGUGCAGGAGAGGAAGGUAGAAUUUCCGGUGUAGCGGUGAAAUGCGUAGAGAUCGGGAGGAAUACCAGUGGCGAAGGCGGCCUUCUGGACUGACACUGACACUGAGGUGCGAAAGCGUGGGUAGCAAACAGGAUUAGAUACCCCGGUAGUC
rnacentral:rRNA from 1 species